GAACAAAGCUGCCAACGCUUACCGUUUUAUGGAGUUUCAUAUGCUAUUUACUGUUUCCUCUCAAGGCCACAAGCCUGAGAAUAUUGCACACCCACCCACACAUACAAACACAUCUUUCCUUUUAAUUGCAUUCCUAGCCCUGGAGAUUACAGAUCAUCAUUUUGGAACUGCAAACUCUGUUCAUCUCAAAACAUCAAAACCAAUCCAACACAUCAGCAGAAAUCACGCAGUGAUUCCUCAGUGUGUUUACAGAGAGAACAUGAUGCUCAUGCUAAGAAAACCAAAGAGAAUUUAAGCCAUCCACUGAGAAACUGGCAGACUGAGUGAAAGCUGAAGGCCUGGUGGAGUUUGCUGAUGGCAGGGAUCAGCCAGCUGUGCUGACCCUGCUCCCCUUGCACAUUACUCCUCUGUGCCAACCCUGCUGCUCACAAACAGCCUUCCCCUAGACAAGAUUCCAGGGACAGGCACGAUUUAUCCUGCAAACACUGCUCCUGCCUGCUGGAGGUGGACUUGAUCCAGAACAGGGAGGAUAUUCUGCACAUUCUCCUCAGCGCUACCUAUGCAGACAUGGGGAUAUUAGAAACAGGAGCCAAGUGUCUGUGGGAAUAUCAGCUGGUACCAGGAACUGACUGCAGACAGAAAGAGCAAGAACAAGCAGGAAGGUGAGAGCAUAAAAGUCUACAACUGCACUGCAACAGGAGCCUGAGGUCACAACAGGGACUAUUAUUUUCUGGCAGGAGAGAAAUAGUAAAUCGAUGCUUCAUUCUGAUCUGGUGGCUGGCUGACAUCUAUGGCACCCUGACACAGGUGGCUCACACGACAGCCUCCUGCAGUAUAUCUUCCACGCUUAGGAACAUUACAAGAAGCAGAACAGUUUCCACAAGAUAUAUUGUGUUUGUGUUUUCAGAAGCCUCUAGAACCUCACAAUAAAACAAAACAAAACCAAACCCAAACCAACACCCCAGCACACAGGUAGCUGAGGUCUCAGAAGCAAGGAAUUUCCAGAACUGGCUUGAAUAGGACAACCUUAGUUUUGUUUCUUUCUAACUUUUUAUAUAUACUUGUCUUAUAUAUACUUUUUCAGGAGAAAACAUGCUUACCUGGGAAGCUUGUAUUUCAACUAUGUAGACAAACCCACUAGUUUACAGCCAAAAACACACCCCAGAAGGUACAUUCUGAUUUCCUUGGCGCUGCCCCUCAAUCCAGCUCUAGAAAUUGACCCCCAGCCAACUAAUUUACUCCAAUGCCAACCAAGGAGUAAUUGUGCUGUGCUCCGAAUACUUGUUCUGCUUUCCUUGCCAACACCACCAACAGCAGGGACAGAAUCUGCCCUAAAAACAGGCAGUGGUCCCUGGAUCCUUUAACCUGACCCUCAGACAGGAGAGUGAGGAUGCAUAAGCAGACUUGUGCUUGUGACAAGGUAAAUUGUGAGCAAGCCGAAGUGAAAUUGCCAGGUACAAGGCACCUGCUGGUUAUGACAAAUUUUGUUUGCUCCAUUAUUGCAGGCAAUACAAAACCAGGGCAUUACACAGCUUCUGCACUUACAUCCAGUGUAGAGAGGGAUUUCUUACAGGGACAUAUGCCUCCAGUAUCACUGCUUCAGUAUUUAUGCCUGGCUCCAUUCACUUUUCUGCUUACAGACCAUACCCAGUAAUGAAACACUGCCUCUUUUAUAAUUAAAAUGUGGAUUUUUUUCAGCUCAGUUACUGAUGGGGCUUUCAAUGGAAACCUUAGAAAUAAAGGUCCCCCAAAUUUUGUCUCAAAGACACCCAGUCUAACUACAGAUCUGGAUGUUACAACCCUGGGUUUUGUCAGAAGUUUUCGAUGUCACUUUAAAACCAUUUAUGUCUUGAUAUUCCAAAUGGACAUGCCUAUAUAUUGGAUUUUGUUCUAGAUAUAUUGAUGCAAGAUGUCAUCAAUUUUUUUUGCCAGAAAUCAGUGGCUGUAAACACUUCAAUUUUACUACUUAAACUUACAAAAGCAAAUUACUACUCAUCUGUAUUUAGGAAUCCAUUUAAACUGGUAAUACUUGCAAGUGCUAAUUUUGCAUAAACUCUGGUAAUGUUUAUUAAUGAAAGAGACAAUAUAGUACCAAUUAAGAAAUGUUCAGCAGCUAGUUAAUAAUAGACAAAAUAAUCCUAUUUGCCUCCUCAGCUGUCUUUGCAAAUGUUUAACAAUUAAGAUAUCCAAGCUCAAGUAGCCUAAAUAAAGAGGCUUUCUCCUUA